CUGUCGGGACCCGAAAGAU
rnacentral:snRNA from 1 species